GAGGUUCAUCAAAUUUCAAAUGGCAAUAGAAAAAAGGCUAUUACAUGGCUUAAGCCCGAUUCAAGGAAACAACAUAACAAUACUGAUUGUGGAUACUAUGUGAUGAAAAAUAUGUUGGAUAUUGUCUCUGCCAAUAUAACUGAAUCUUGGAUGCAGGUAUUUAAUGAUCCUACAGAAUUGACACAAGAAGAUUUGUAUGAUUUGCGACUCCGUUGGGCAAAAUGUUUCUUUGAGUUAUAUAAAGGAUAACUUUAUGUUUCUCGUGGAUGCGUG